rnacentral:lncRNA from 1 species
AAACACAGAUCCUGGUGCCGAACAUGAGGACAGGGCAGGCCGAAGGAGAAAGUGGAAGGAGGGGAGCUUCUCUCUCAGCCUCAUCCUUCUGGGCCUGGAUGCUGGAGAGUCAUGAGGUGCUUCAGAGUACUCUGGGUGAGGAGGGAAAGAUGGUGCCCACCACAUGGAGGCCAGCCUAGGUCUUGUAUGAAACCUGUGAGCUCUCAUGAACCAGUACAGGCCUGCUUCAGCAUAGCACUGGGUCCAAAGGAAAAGAAGAAAAUGCUGAGUGUGUGGGUGGAACAUCUAACCUCUUCGGACGUACAAGGCUCCUGCCUAUGUCAUCCUUUCCCCUGGCAUGGCAGCAGAUGCAACUCUGGAGUGGGGGAAGAGGGCGGGAAGAGAGCCUGUGCUGCUGAGCACCUACCAGGACUUGUCAGGGCCCAGGCACCCUAUGAAACACCUUAUGUUGGUUAUCCCACACCAAGCUCGCAAACCUCUGAGGUAGGCAACUUUGUCACAGAGAGAGGCUGAGUAACAAGCCCAAAGUCAAACAGCCAAGAAGAGACAGAACUGUAUUAAACUUAUCUACUGGACCCCAAA